rnacentral:lncRNA from 1 species
AUGCCUAUUGCAGCUUCCUUCUCUCUCCUGCGCAGUUCAUCAUCAAGCUGCCCCUACACAAAACUUCCUUUGCUCUUCCCUCAGAAUCCCUCAGCCCGCCAAUCAUUAGAAGAGCCAACGUCAAACUACAUUUCCCAGAAUCCCAUGCAUCCACGUCUUCCAGUCUUUUCUUACCUGCAAGGAAGUUGGUCUGAAUACCUAAUUACCUUCUUGUACACCACAGUGCCACCACAAGUGAGGAAAAACAAGUGAAGGGAAUCGAGCCUUAUAAGCUGGUGAGUCUGAAAGAUUAUCAUCAGUUUGAAGAACUGUCUGGGACCGAUUUUGCUGCCAAUUGUGCUUUGAUGCCUUAAGAAACAAAAAGUGAUCUUCUAAAGCACCCUUCUGGACCCAGGACAAUGUUGUGCGUCCUCAUUUUGAAGAGGAUCGAUGACAUCACAGGGUGAUGGCUUGACUUGCACACGAGUUGUACUUAAAUGAGGCAGAGCUGCAGAAAGUUGUCAGCCUCACUCUCUCUUCCAGUGGCAGGACAAAACCCAUAACAAUAAAACGUGAACAAGGACUCA